UACGGGGGGGGCAAGCGUUGUUCGGAAUUACUGGGCGUAAAGGGCGCGUAGGCGGCCUUCUAAGUCGGACGUGAAAUCCCUCGGCUUAACCGAGGAACUGCGUCCGAUACUGAAAGGCUUGAAUCCGGGAGAGGUAUGUGGAAUUCCAGGUGUAGCGGUGAAAUGCGUAGAUAUCUGGAGGAACACCGGUGGCGAAGGCGGCAUCCUGGACCGGCAUUGACGCUGAGGCGCGAAAGCUAGGGGAGCAAACGGG
rnacentral:rRNA from 1 species